AGAUAGAUGAAAAAUAUGUGUAUAAAAUUGGUUUUGCCUUUGGUUUUGUUCAGUUCGGUUCGGAUUUUGAUGAAAAUCAGAACCAAACCAAAACAGUAAUAUAAGUGGGACAAUAACUGUUGUAUUAUUUUGACGUUCAAUAAGUUUACUUUGUCUAACUAGAUACUAUGUGAUAUAAAAUGAAGAUUGUUUAGAUGGUGUUAUAUGAUAAACUUGCAUUUUUUCUUCCACUAUACAAGUUACUUUAUGAAUCUCGUUAAAUGAUUUUAACUUUAUGUUUCUAUUAUGUUUUUGGUCAUAAGCCGGAUCUGGAAUGAGACUUG
rnacentral:misc_RNA from 1 species